UACGUAGGGUGCAAGCGUUAAUCGGAAUUACUGGGCGUAAAGGGUGCGUAGGCGGUUGCGUGUGUCGGAUGUGAAAGCCCCGGGCUCAACCUGGGAAUUGCAUUCGAAACUGCGCGACUAGAAUAUGGUAGAGGAAGAUGGAAUUCCACGUGUAGCGGUGAAAUGCGUAGAUAUGUGGAGGAACACCAAUGGCGAAGGCAAUCUUCUGGGCCAAUAUUGACGCUGAUGCACGAAAGCGUGGGUAGCAAACAGG
rnacentral:rRNA from 1 species